rnacentral:rRNA from 1 species
GACGAACGCUGGCGGCGUGCCUAACACAUGCAAGUCGAGCGGAGAUGAUGUGAGGAAGUUUUCGGAUGGAAUCACAUUAUUUUAGCGGCGGACGGGUGAGUAACGCGUGAGCGACCAACCUUGCACAGGGGGAUAACGGACCGAAAGGUUCACUAAUACCGCAUGAGACCACGGUGUUGCAUGACACAGAGGUCAAAGGAGAGAUCCGGUGCAAGACGGGCUCGCGUCCGAUUAGGUAGUUGGAGGGGUAACGGCCCACCAAGCCUAUGAUCGGUAGCCGACCUGAGAGGGUGAUCGGCCACAUUGGAACUGAGAUACGGUCCAAACUCCUACGGGAGGCAGCAGUGGGGAAUAUUGGGCAAUGGGGGAAACCCUGACCCAGCAACGCCGCGUGAAGGAAGAAGGUUUUCGGAUUGUAAACUUCUGUCCUUGGUGAAGAGAAGAAGACGGUAGCCAAGGAGGAAGCCCCGGCUAGCUACGUGCCAGCAGCCGCAGUAA